GUUAUUCACAGUACAUAAUUUAAAAAAGAUUUUUUUUUAUAAUUUCUUAUCCAGAAUUUCCUUUCCAUAUUGAGAUGUGCAAACUUGAGGCAAAAGAUAUGUUCUACAUGCAGCUGAACUCUAUAGUUAACCAGUGCCCCCCACGCAACACACUCAUUGUCUUGGGUGACUUCAGUGCAACUACUGGCACAGAGAGAGACGGCUACGAGUUAUGUGUUGGUCCCCACGGCUCUGGCACUAGAAAUAUAAACAGUUCACUCCUGAACUUUGCAAAGUCCAGAAGGUUGAGGAUUGCUGGUUCCUGUCUUGGUUCACUGACUCAGUGCCAACGGAGAAUGAUCACAUCCUUCUAAGCACUCAUUGGAGGAUCCUCCAGAACUGUACGGUUUUCUAGUGCUGAGUUUUUAAGACCAACCAUAGAUGUUGUAAAACAGAAUACAUAUUAGGUCCAAGAAAUACUCAAGAUUCAGCCUGCUGGGUUCCAUCUCAAGAAACUGAGUAGGUCCAAGAAAUACUCAAGAUUCAGCCUGCAAGGGUUCCAUCUCAAGAAACUGAGUGACCAGGCGUGUGCUCAGGAGUAUGUGGUGGCAGUCCAGUGCCAUUCUUCUUGACUGGAAAAGGGGGCUGGUUGUCCCUGUCUGGAAAGGGGACCAACAGACUGCAACAAUUACAUUGCUCAGUGUGCCGGGCAAGGUGCUUGCUCAUCUGCUGCUGAUGUGAUUUCAAUCUCAUCUGCUGAAGUUUCAGAGACCUGAGCAAUGCGGGUUCAUGCCCAGCAAGUCAACAAUUGGCUGGAUCCUAGCACUUUGUGUCCUCAUGGAACACUGACGCAAGUUUUGACAAGGGCUGCUCGAAGCCUAUGUCAAUCUCAAGAAGGCUUCUGACUCAGUGCAUUUUGAAGCACUCUUGAGACAUUCUGCAGAUCCAUGGGUUUCCCACAAGGAUUACUGACCUGAUGAACACAUACAUACACAGGCCUAGAGGCUCAGUCACACAGCUAGUUGUGAUGGAUUUUUUUUGGGGGGGUGAGGGGGGCUUCUAUGUACAAGGGAUUAUUAUUAUUAUUUUCAUAUCUUUUUUUACAUUUGGCAUGUUGCACCAGUAGGCUAUCUUGAUGGGGCCCAUUCAUGGUGCAGGCAACUGUUUAUAGUGGUGCCAUUUUGCCUGACUCAUGUUGGCCUCCAGAAUUCAUCUUUGAUCCACUGUAGAGAGUUCCACUAGAGUUGAUGGGUGGCCUUCAGACAGCAUGUAGGUAGUUUUAACCCAUACAACGCUGGGGCUAUUUCACUGUUAUGACCCUCCCCGGUGGUUCGACUUUUUAAAAAAAUAAUUUUUUUAAUUAAUUGAUAUGAAAUGCAUAAUUAUGAAGGAUUUUUGGGUUAAGAAAGCGUUCGGAUCAACCUAUAAAGUGGUUUCCAAAAGUGCCGCGUAAAUGGUGUCUUAUUGGCAAGUACACACUUGUAAUUCAUCAUCGUUUCAUUGACGCCUGCUCCUAGGAGCUCCCACCGGGGGAUGGCCACGGCAGAAGUUUCCAUCUUUCUCUAUCCAGACACUCCCUCCUUGCCUGCUCUGGAUCUGAAUUAAUGAUGUGCAGGGCACCUGUACAGGUGCAUAACACGCAUAUUUGUUGGCUGUUGGGGGGACGGGGAGCCGAGUGUGCAGGGGAGGGAAGUGAAUCAAGUGUAAUUGUUAGUGUUGGUGUGUUGUGGUGACAAGUGACUAUGUAUUUGUUUUUUGAAUGAGUCUAUUGUACCGCAGUCUAAAAUCUGUUGAGGGAGGCUGUUCCAGUCACGUAUGGUGCGUGGAAAGUAUGAGUGCUUGUAUGUGUCAGUGUGUGUUACGAGUACGUUGACUGUUUGCGUUGUGUAGGUAUGCUUGUGGGUCAAUGUCAAUGUGAGUGUUUGUGAUCUUGUACAUAAGUGUAAGUCUGUGUGCUUGUCUGCGUAUGUGAAGAGGGUCCAUGUUUAUCUGUUGUUUGAUCCGUGUUGUGAUUCCAGGCGUUCAAGUGUAAUUGUUUGUAAUGAACCUAGCCGCCUAGGCGUUGAUUUGUUCUAACCUAUCAAUGUUUCUGUGUGUGUAAGGAUCCCACACCGUGGAGCAGUAUUCAAGUGUUGGUCUCACAAGUGUGUCAUAAGCUAUGUGUUUAAUGUCAGGUGUGCAGCUAUGUAAGUUCCUCCACAGGAAACCCAGUGUUCUGUUGGCUGUGGCACUGAUAUGGUCUAUGUGGGUGUUGAAUUUCAAGUUAGUUGAGAGAUGGAUACCAAGGUACUUUUUGGGGGAGGCGGUGGCUGAGUCGACAGAGUGAUGGCCCCCGCGUUCAGGAGGACGCGAGUUCAAUCCCCGCCCGGUGCCACCAUGCUGGGAUUUUUCAACCGCCGCCGAGUGGCUUAAAACUACCCACAUGCUGUCCAGAAGACCACCCAUCAACCCGGACUCUAGAUUCUAGGAUUAAAGAUGAGCUCCGGGAGGGCAGCAUGAGCCAAUGCAAGAUGGCGCCACUAUAAACACUCGCCUGCGCCAGAACGGGCUGGGCAUCAGGCCCCACCGGGAAGAAGCCUUGGGCCGAACAUCAGGCCCCGCCGGGAAGAAGCCAAAUGGCGCAAUAGGCCGCAACGUAAAAAAAAAAGUGUGUGUGUGUGAACUGAUUCUAAAUCUGAAUUGUGGAGAGUGUAAGUGUGAUGGAUGGGGUUGUGCACUCUGGUGAAUCUUAAUAGUUUGCAUUUGUCUGGUCGGAAGUGCAUCUGCCAGGUGCGCUCCCACCGCUCGAGGGCGUCCAAGUCGUUUUGUUGUGGUCUGCAGUCGUCAGCAGUCUUUACUGCUCUAAACAGUAAACUAUCGUCAGCAAAUAGUCUAGUGGAAGAGUUAGGUGUUGACAGUGGAAGAUCGUUAAUGUACAGGAUGAAAAGAAGGGGGCCUAGAAUGGUGCCUUGUGGAACGCCUGAAGAAACAGGGACAGUGUCAGAUGAAGAUCCGUCAAGAAGAACACGUUGAGUCCUGUUGGUAAGAAAUGCAGUGAUCCAGUGGAGAAUAGAUCCUGAAAUACCGUAGUAUUUCAAUUUUAAUGUCAGUCUUUUGUGCAGGACUUUGUUGAAGGCUUUGGCAAAAUCUAAAACAAUAGUGUCAACUUGUUUAAUGUCACGUCGGUCAAGUAGCCUCGUAAUGUCGUGAUGUAGUAAUGAGUUGCGAUUCACAUGAGCGUUUAGGUCGAAAGCCAUGUUGUGAGUCAGUAAGGAUGUUGUUUGUGUCAAGGUGAUUCAUUAUGUGUUUGUGUAUUAUGUGUUCGAAAAUUUUACAUGGAAUCGAUGUUAACGAGAUGGGGCGAUAAUUGGUUGGGUCAGUCUGGUCACCUGUCUUGAAUAAAGGAUUAAUGUUUGCCAAAAAACAGUCAGAAACCACUGCUCAAAGUUUCUCAACGAUCUUUCCCCCUCUCCCUAACGUACUCUUGCACCCUAUCUUCAUUUCACUGGAGGUCGUCCUCUAACAUUCCCUCCCUCGAUCUCACUCACAUACACCCUUCUGGUCAUCUCACUCUCCUCCAUUCUCUUCAUGUGGCCAAACCACUUUAAAGUCUGUCGCUUCACUUCUUCCACCACUCCACACUUCUUCCCUUCAACCGUGACACAUUCCAAAAUGCUCGUACACACUCAUUACUCAUUCCAUCCAUUCUACUCACACCACAAGCACUCCUCAAAUAACUCAUUUCCACUGCCUGCACUCUAGACCUCUGACUUUCAUUCCAGGCCCAUGUUUCACUUGCAUAUGUGAGGGUUGGUACUAUUACUGUAUUUCUCAAACCCCGCUUUACCUCCAUGCUCACACUUCUGCCAUUCAUGAUUUGUCCCAAAGACCCUACCACCCUUCUUCCUUGCAAUGCCCUUUCUAUUGUCUCUCUCUUCAUACCACCAUGCUUAAACAUAACUGAUCCAAGGUACUUAAACUCAUUGACCUCCUCCAUUUCUUCACCAUUCAAAAUCAUUUUGCAUUCUUUUUCACAUUCAAUUCCCACUCUAUAUGGGCAUACAAAAUCUACAACCUCACUUCUACUCCGCUCACAAACCAUCACUUUACUUUUAUUGACAUUUCCUUUCAGCUUUCUCCUUUUACAGACACUAUCAAAACCACUGACCAAAUUUUGUAGGUCACUUUCAUUUUCUGUAAUGAGCACCGUGUCAUCAGCAAACAGGAUUGAAUUCAUCACCCACUUCCUUCCCUCAGCGAACAUUUUUACUCCAACUUCCCCAACUUUGCCUUUCAUUUCUCUAAUAACACCAUCCAUAUAAAUAUUGAACAACCAUGAUGACAUGACACACCCCUGCCUCAAGCCCACUUUUAUCUCAAAAUGUUCACUUGUUUCUCCAUUUCUCCAUUGUUUAAUUUUGACACGUGCAAAUGCAUCCUCAUAGAAGGACUUUAUUGCACCAAGCAGUUUUCCCCCCACACCAUACAUCUUUUAAGACAUCUCACAAUGCAAUCUGCUGCUGGAGGCAGCAGAACGCUUAGCCUCAGACCUUACUAUUAUUUCCGAUUGGUGCAAGAAGAACCUGGUGUAAUUCAACGCCUCAAAAACACAGUUUCUCCACCUAUCCACUCGACACAAUCUUCCAAACAACUAUCCCCUCUUCUUUGACAACACUCGGCUAUCACCUUCUUCAACACUAAACAUCCUCGGUCUAUCCUCAACUCGAAAUUUUAACUGGAAACUUCAUAUCUCUUCUCUUACUAAAUCAGCUUCCUCGAGGUUGGGCGUUCUGUACAGUCUCCACCAGUUCUUCUCCCCCGCACAGCUACUAUCCAUUUACAGGGGCAUUGUCUGCCCUCGUAUGGAGUAUGCAUCUCACGUGUGGGGGGGCUCCACUCACACAGCUCUCUUGGACAGAGCGGAGUCUAAGGCCCUUCGUCUCAUCAGCUCUCCUCCUCUUACUGAUAGUCUUCUACCUCUUACAUUUCACCGCCAUGUUGCCUCUCUUUCUAUCUUCUAUCGAUAUUUUCAUGCUGACUGCUCUUCUGAACUUGCUAACUGCAUGCCUCCCUCCCUCCCGCGGCCUCGCCACACACGCUUUUCUACUCAAGCUCAUCCCGUUACUGUCCAAAUCCCUUACGCAAGAGUUAACCAACAUCUUCACUCUUUCAUCCCUCACGCUGGUAAACUCUGGAACAAUCUUCCUACAUCUGUAUUUCCUCCUGGCUACGACUUGAACUCUUUCAAGAGGAGGGUAUCAGGACACCUCUCCUUCCGAAACUGACCUGUCUUUUGGCCACUCCUCUAACUCUUUUUAAGAGCAGUGAGUAGCGGCCUUUUUUUCACAUUUGUUUCCUUUUUUUUUAAGCCCUUGAACUGACUCCUCUGCUGUGUGUAUAUAUAUAUAUAUAUAUAUAUAUAUAUAUA